rnacentral:rRNA from 1 species
GCCUAUGGCCAUACCACCCUGAAAGUUCCCGAUCUCGGAAGCUAAGCAGGGACGGGCUUGGUUAGUACCUGGAUGGGAGACCGCCUGGGAAUACCAGGUGUUGUAGGCU